UCUGCCAAUCAAAGCGGCAUAGCGUGAGGAGGGCGUGGCCUGAUGUUUCAUUCAAAGAGCGGAAAGGAAGGCGGUCGAGCCGCGUGUCGAUAACGGUCUCGUCUGAUGCUGAACUCGCAGAGCGAGCGCCGAACCGAGCUUUGAAACGGACGGUAUUCGGACAGUAUCCAGCCUAAGAUGGCCCGAGGAGAGGCGUCGGAGCAGCUUCCGUCAACCCUGCUGCCUUCCGUGAAAGAUCUCGCUCAAGACGGACUCGGAAUCGCCAAGAAGGGGAAGGAAAAGAAGGCGAAGAAGAAUCUCUCUGUAUGGAGUAAGCUGUGUUAUGCCAUUGGAGGAGCGCCGUAUCAGAUUACAGGAAGCGCUCUGGGCUUCUUCCUGCAGAUCUACCUGCUGGACGUGGCUCAGUUGGACCCAUUCUAUGCGUCUAUAAUCCUGUUUGUUGGGAGGGCUUGGGAUGCUGUGACUGACCCCACUGUUGGCUUCCUGGUCAGCAGGAGUCCUUGGACGCGACGCGGCCGAAUGAUGCCCUGGAUCCUGCUGUCGACGCCGUUUGCGGUGAUCAGCUAUUUUCUGAUCUGGGUGGUUCCUCCAGUGGAGAAUGGAAAAGUGGUCUGGUACCUGAUCUUCUACUGCCUCUUCCAGUCCCUGCAGACGUGUUUUCAUGUGCCUUACUCCGCGCUGACCAUGUUCAUCAGCUCCGAGCAGAAAGAGAGAGAUUCUGCCACAGCGUAUCGUAUGACUAUAGAGGUUUUGGGUAGUGUUAUUGGAACUGCCAUCCAGGGUCAAAUAGUGGGCGGGGCCAAUGCUCCAUGUUUAAACCACACCUCCUCUCUGAAUGACAGCGUUCUACAGCCGAGCUCGGAAGUCAACACCUCUCAUGUCUCGCUGGACGACACGAAACAUGCGUACAUGUUGGCGUCUGGCGUGAUUAGCAUCAUCUACGUGCUCUGCGCUGCUGUGCUGUUCCUGGGAGUUCGAGAGCAAAAAAAUGUGCAGCGCAAAGCAGAUCGACAUCUGUCCUUCGUGGAGGGUCUGCGGCUGCUGCGGACACAUGGACCGUACGUUAAACUGGUCGCGGGAUUCCUCUUCACUUCACUGGCCUUUAUGCUGAUGGAGGGAAACUUUGCGCUGUUCAUCACAUACACGCUGGGAUUUCGCAACGACUUCCAGAACAUCCUACUGGUCAUAAUGCUCUCCGGUGCUCUCACCAUUCCUCUGUGGCAGCUCUUCCUCAACCGUUUUGGCAAAAAAACUGCAGUCUACAUCGGCAUCUCGUGGGCGAUCCCUUUCAUGAUCCUGGUGGUGUGUAUCGAGAGUAAUCUCAUCCUGACCUACAUCAUUUCUCUGGCGGCUGGUUUCAGCGUGGCUGCGGCGUUCUUCCUGCCGUGGUCGAUGCUUCCGGACGUGGUGGAUGAUUUUAAAGUACAAAAUCCAGACUCUCAAGGACACGAGGCCAUUUUCUACUCCUUUUACGUUUUCUUCACCAAGUUUGCCUCCGGAGUCUCACUCGGAAUCUCAACACUCAGUUUACACUUUGCAGGUUAUGUGACGCGAGGCUGCGUCCAGCCCGACUCGGUGCAUUUAACUCUGAAGAUGCUGGUGUCAGCCGCUCCGGUCAGCCUCAUCAUCCUCGGCCUGCUGAUCUUCAUGUCGUACCCCAUCAACGAGCAGCGGAGACAGCACAACAGCAGCCAGCUGCAGGCGCUGCUGCGGGACAGCAGUGAACAGGACUCUGAUACUUCUGAGUCUUCUGACUUGGGAAGUGCAGUUUAAAAACAGCAAGAACUCAAGAGCAGCCCACUGCCAUCAGUGUCUGCUCUGGCCAGUUAGAGGGCAGUAUGAGAUCCCAACACCCCCUGUGAGUGUCAUCUGUGCCUUUUGCUGACCUUUCCUAAGCCUAACUGGAUCACGGUUAAACUACUGCCUGGGGUGUUGGGUCCACUUCAUCCACCCUGCAGGACGCCGUCGGCUGCAUUCUGGAACCCCCGUGGACGGACUAGAGUAGAUGAGAAACCCCAGACAACAGAAACACUUCUGAAAGCGUGGAGACGUUACACUGAACCCCCAGCAGAGCAGCGCUUCAAACAACUUCAAACAACUUCAAAACCUGAAUUUCUUUGGCGUGAGCUGUUGCUGCUCCGACUGACGUGCGUCUUUUAAUGUAAAUCAUAUUUAUCGACGCUGCUUGCACAUCAGUGGGCCUGAGUCUGAAUGUUUAAAUAUAAAGAGAACUUCCUCUGGAGUCAGUCAGAAAAAAUCACAACGCACUGAAGCUACGAGGCUAAUGUGGCUAACGAGUAAUAGCAGCUGGCAUGUGCCUGUGAGCUUUUAGCAUGCAUGUGAGCAUGCUAACGUGCUUUAGCUGGUGUUUGUAGAGAAAGGCGAGCGACAUCCAUCAGGACACAUGUAGUGUGUGUGUGUGUAAGUGGUUUUUAUUUAUAUAUAUAUAUAUAUAUAUAUAUAUAUUAAAAAAACACUUAUGAUUCAUGGUCCUUUUUAGUUGCAAACUCCAGAGACUGCAAUCUACUGUAUAUACUGUAUAUGGUGUGUGUUUAUUGUAAAUAACUUUGGGCGUGACUUUGAAGGCAAUUCAAUUGCCAAUUAAUGGAAA